AGGAACCUACCUUUGCGGCAGGGGAGAUUGCCGAAAAUGUCCAUUUGUUAAUUGCGUAAUUUAGCACGUAGUGAUUGAUUUUCCGCGUAAUUUAGCAAAGAAUCCCGCGUAAUUUUAGAAUCCCUGGAUAAACACCAAGGCUAAACUACCAGUACCAGCUUAUUUAAAUCAAAUGAAUCAUGCUGUCAAUGAUAUAAAGGUGGCGGUGCUGGUAGCCGGCCUUAUGGACACCGAUACCCGAAAACGAGUGGAGUCCAAGCUUAUCAUCAAACACAACACCCUGGCGCCGAGCGAUGAAGGCAUUGCCGAAACGUCGAAAAAAAAAAUAGAACCCAGUGAUUCAAGAAAUUGUUGUAUAUAAAUAAGCACAAGACAAUCACUGCACAGGACUAAAAUCACUACUACGUGACUAUAUUGGUGCAACCUCAAUGACACCUCCAUGACACAUACCAAGAUUGGUUGUUAAAGAGCCUCAGUCACGAAACGAAAAUAGAGUUUAUUUGAAUAUUGAUAUCUGAAAAACACUGGCUGAAAAUUUGAGCGAAAUCGUUUAAAACCUCGAAAAGUUAUUGUUUUUUAGGGAAUUUCAAACUUUCCGCGCUUUUUGUCCCCUCCAUCAAUCGCUCGGCCAAGCAAUCACGUGACGACGCUUUCGAUCACGUGUGCGUGCUCGGCGUCAUAAUGUUGGUUUAGUUCAAUAUGGCGGACAGAGAAAGUAAGACGUGCGACGGUGACCCUCGCGAUAAAAGGAAAAAAUAAGGGCCGAUUUUGUGUAGCAGGCCUACCGAAUAAUGUUAGCUGCAAAAAUACGUCUUACACGGAUAAUAUUUCGAUGCAUAACUUUCCCAAAGACCGCAAAUUGAGGCACGAGUGAGAGAAAUUUGUACGGAAACAUUGACCGGACUUUCGUGCACGAGGUGACAACAUCUCACUAUAUUCGGACCACUUCAAGAAAGAGUGUUAUGAUGGGCCGAAGCUCAAUGUUGGAAAUUUAAAGUUUAAUAGACGGCUAAUCCCCGGGUCGAUUCCAACCGAGGACGGCGGUAAGAAGACAAUAGGAACCGUCCGCUCGUGAUCAAAGACACACUAUGUAGAUGAUAUCAGCAAGGUACUCUUCACUGUACCACUGGAGGAGUUGACAGCUAUUCGUGAGAGAUACCAAAAAAGGUGCCAGAGCCCCUUAGCCAACAAUUUCCAAAUAGAGUGUCCAGAAGUGAAGCCAUCCAGGUUUAUGAGAAGAGGAAAAGGCAUAGCACCACCCCCCUUUAUCCAUCAGGUAUGUGUGGCAAUGGCUUAAGGCCUGGCUAAACAUUUAAACAUGUUUGUCAAACAUUGCAUUUGGUGGAUAUCCACACCUUCAACAGCAGU